GCGGAAGAGGAAGGAGCCGGCUGGGCUGUGAGGUGGCAGCGGCUGCAGCGGCUGCAGCGGCGGAGCCGGCGCCACGACCGGGCACUGGGGUCUGUUCCCCCUUUCCCGCCCUUCCCCACGCCAGGGGCGUCUGGGGCGCCGCUUCGGAGGACCGGAGCAGGACUAGAAUCGGUCUUUGAUUGCUGAGAGGUAGACAGGGGUGCUGGGCUUGACAACGGCCGCGCCCGAAGCCAGCCGAGCCUACGUGUGCCUUCACAGGAUCCGUGCGUCGUCGUUAGCUGCCUCUUGGGGUUUGGUUUCGGUACCUGGGGCCCUGGUAAAAGCAGACACCGAAUCGCUCUUACACGGCCAGCGUUACUGUCAUUUGCCUCUCGUCUCUUAGAGGAUGGUAGGCAGCAUCAGCCUCUCAGCAGCUGGGAUUCAGAGAAGACUGCCCUGCGAAAUGGCUCUAUCAGCCAUUGUGCUCCUCUGAGAGGCUCUCAGUGCUGAGUCACCACAUCCAUCCACCUCAUCUAGGUGGGCAGAGCUGUGCCCCAGGCCAGUGGCUCCUGACCACUCCUGACUGGGAGGAGGGGUUACUCUAGCCGAAUGUUUCCUUAACUCCAGAAUAGAGUAGGAAGGCCCUGACUCCGUCCCUGUGCCGGCCUUCAGCAGCCAGUCAGCAGCCCUUCCAGUAAACUGAGAAACAUGCCCCCAGACAGGCGCUCUUUGGAGUUGUGUUCGUCUAGCUGAGGGCUGUUGUUUUGAUGGAGUCUGUGCUUUCCCCCAACCCUGUCUUUAUUAGCGGCUGCUGUCUCUUGGCAUAGAUCCAGUCUACAGAUGUAUGGAGUCCUUUUUGGGUUAGGUUUGGCAGGAUUGAGUUUUGUUUCCUCAGUUUUUAUUGGAAGACAGACCAUAAUCUCAUUAGUGGGUUUAACUGAUUCUAAUAUUUAUUACCAUUUGGACUGAGGGUCAGAUCUGGCCCCUUGAAAACUGAAGACCAGGCAGAUGUUUCCUGGGGAUGUUGGGCCUGGAAGCAAACACGCCUUGUUCUUUUGUUGACCUCAUUGACCCCAGGUUCCCUGGUUAAAACUGGCCUGGUACCCAGUAGCCCACUGAUCAAUCCUUGAGGCUGUGCCCUCCGGGGCAUGCACUUGACAGGGCCCACCAUCAUGCGACUGAGCUCCCUUUUGGCUCUGCUGCGACCAGCACUGCCCCUCAUCCUAGGACUGUCUCUGGGGUGCAGCCUGAGCCUCUUGCGGGUUUCCUGGACCCAGGGUGAGGGAGAAGAUCCCUGUGUAGAGGCUGUGGGGGAACCAGGAGGGCCACAGAAUCCAGACUCGAGAACUCGGCUCGACCAAAGUGAUGAAGACUUCAAACCCCGGAUUGUCCCCUACUACAGGGAUCCCAACAAGCCCUAUAAGAAGGUGCUCAGGACCCGGUACAUCCAGACAGAGCUGGGCUCUCGUGAGCGGUUGCUGGUGGCUGUCCUGACCUCCCGGGCCACACUGUCCACUCUGGCUGUGGCUGUGAACCGCACGGUGGCCCACCACUUCCCUCGGUUACUCUACUUCACUGGGCAGCGAGGGGCCCGGACUCCUGCAGGGAUGCAGGUGAUAUCUCAUGGGGACGAGCGACCAGCAUGGCUCAUGUCAGAGACCCUGCGCCAUCUUCACACACACUUUGGGGCCGACUAUGACUGGUUCUUCAUCAUGCAGGAUGACACAUAUGUGCAGGCCCCCCGCCUGGCAGCCCUUGCUGGCCACCUCAGCAUCAACCAGGACCUGUACUUGGGCCGGACAGAGGAGUUCAUUGGUGCAGGCGAGCAGGCCCGGUACUGCCACGGCGGCUUUGGCUACUUGUUGUCCCGGAGUCUCCUGCUUCGACUGCGGCCACAUCUGGAUGGCUGCCGAGGAGACAUUCUCAGUGCCCGUCCUGACGAGUGGCUUGGCCGCUGCCUCAUUGAUUCUCUGGGCAUUGGCUGCGUCUCACAGCACCAGGGGCAGCAGUAUCGCUCAUUUGAACUGGCCAAAAAUAGGGACCCUGAGAAGGAGGGGAGCUCGGCUUUCCUGAAUGCUUUUGCGGUGCACCCUGUCUCCGAGGGAACCCUCAUGUACCAGCUCCACAAACGCUUCAGUGCCCUGGAGCUGGAGCGGGCGUACAGUGAAAUAGAACAACUGCAGGCUCAGAUCCGGAACCUGACUGCACUGACCCCAGAGGGGGAGGCAGGGCUGAGCUGGCCCAUUGGGCUCCCUGCCCCUUUUACAGCGCACUCUCGUUUUGAGGUGCUGGGCUGGGACUACUUCACAGAGCAGCACACCUUCUCCUGCGCAGACGGGGCCCCCAAGUGCCCGCUGCAGGGGGCCAGCAGGGCGGACGUGGGCGACGCCGUGGAGACUGCUUUGGAGCAGCUGAAUCGGCGCUAUCAGCCCCGCCUGCGCUUCCAGAAGCAGCGGCUGCUCAACGGCUACCGGCGCUUCGAUCCAGCGCGGGGCAUGGAGUAUACCCUGGACCUGCUGCUGGAGGCCGUGACGCAGCGAGGGCACCGGCGGGCCCUGGCCCGCAGGGUCAGCCUGCUGCGGCCACUGAGCCGGGUGGAAAUCCUCCCUAUGCCCUAUGUCACUGAGGCCACCCGAGUGCAGCUGGUGCUGCCGCUGCUGGUGGCCGAAGCUGCUGCGGCCCCUGCCUUCCUCGAGGCCUUUGCAGCCAGUGUCCUGGAGCCACGAGAGCAUGCGUUGCUCACCUUGUUGCUGGUCUACGGGCCUCGGGAAGGUGGCCGAGGGGCCCCAGACCCAUUUCUUGGGGUGAAGGCGGCAGCGGCUGAGUUGGAACGACGGUACCCUGGGACGAGGCUGGCCUGGCUCGCCGUGCGAGCGGAGGCCCCUUCCCAGGUGCGGCUCAUGGACGUGGUCUCUAAGAAGCACCCGGUGGACACGCUCUUCUUCCUCACCACCGUGUGGACCAGGCCCGGGCCCGAAGUCCUCAACCGCUGCCGCAUGAAUGCCAUCUCCGGCUGGCAGGCCUUCUUCCCAGUCCAUUUCCAGGAGUUCAACCCUGCCCUGGCACCACAGAGAUCUCCCCCAGGGCCCCCGGGGGCUGGCCCUGACCCCCCGUCCCCUCCUGGAGGUGACCCUUCCCGGGGGGCUCCCGUAGGGGGCAGGUUUGACCGACAGGCUUCCGCAGAGGGCUGCUUCUACAAUGCUGACUACCUGGCGGCCCGAGCCCGGCUGGCUGGUGAACUGGCAGGCCAGGAAGAGGAGGAAGCCCUGGAGGGGCUGGAGGUGAUGGAUGUUUUCCUCCGGUUCUCAGGGCUCCACCUUUUCCGGGCCGUGGAGCCAGGGCUGGUGCAGAAGUUCUCCCUGCGCGACUGCAGCCCUCGGCUCAGUGAGGAACUGUACCACCGCUGCCGCCUUAGCAACCUGGAGGGGCUGGGGGGCCGCGCCCAGCUUGCCAUGGCUCUGUUUGAGCAGGAGCAGGCCAACAGCACCUAGCACAGCCCGGGGCCCUGCACCUCCACACAAGGCAAGAUGGAUGGACAGAUGGAGAGCUCAUUGCUGUAUUUUUUUUAAUAAGAAAAUGUUAUUAAAAGUGUCUUCUGCCAGACUGUUUUUAGGUCUAGGGAAAAUGUAGUGAGAAGACUCUGAGGAAGGGGGUGGGCGUUUCCCAGAGGGACCCAGUGCCCUUCCCUCCCCAGUCAUCAGUGACCACACAGCUGCUAUCAGAUGAAUGACCUUUAAUCCAGUCCCCGCCUCACCCACCAGGCAUCAGGAGUGGUGGCAGAGCCCCAGGGGACAGGGCAGGGGCCCAGAGGCCCAUGGUGGCAGUGGCACUCAUUCACAGGGCUCCUAGGUGUUACGCACGACCAGCGACUGCUCCAGCUCCUGCCUGCGCUGCUGGAUCUGUAGAGAAACAGGAGCAGGAGCAGGGUUACGUGUUGCUGUGCUCCCUGAGUCCCCUUCACCUUGAGGUCCCGGCUCUGGGAGCGGAGGAGGUCUUGGAUGUAGCCUUUGGGGUCUCUGGAGAAGCUUAGCAUGAAGUCCCUCUGGAUCUUGAGCUGGUUUAUGGACUCAAUCGUCUCAUGGAUCUACAGCUCUGGGCUGUGGCCCCACCUUACUGUCCAGAGCACUGAUCUCCUGCUGGUUGGCUGUGGACAGGAGGAAGCUGCUCAUCUGUCCCUUCAGCGGCUCCUCCACCUCCACGUCAAUGUCAUAGCACGCUGUCUUCUUCUGGUCUGACGGGUCCACGCUGCCAGGGAAGUCCAGCCCUUGGUGUCUAGCUGCCCCGCCACAAGAGGCCAAGGGCCAGAAGCCACAGGGAAGGAGGGGCCUGGGGGUGGGGAGAUGGGACAAGGAGGGCAGGAUCACAAUGAUUACCUGUUCUGAGGAGCAGGUUGGGGCCUCACCUGAUAACGUGGUUGAUGACAAUUGGGUCAGGGGGCAAGAGCAGAGCUGUGAGGCGCUGGGGGAUCUCAGAAAACUUCAGCCGCGGACAAUCAAAAAUCUAAAGUAGGAGAGAGAGAUCACUGUUCUGUGCUUGAAAAGAGCAUACUUUCCAUUCUGAAAAGGCCACAAGAAGCCAGGAACAAGUCUAAUUCCUCAGUGCCUGUGGGGCUGGGGCGAGGGUGGCUGUGAGUAGUGGAGCGCUGACAAGGAGGUAGGUGGGCGCCGCGCAGAGGUUGAGAGCACAGGCCCUGGGUUGGCUGGCCUGAGUAUAAACCCUCCUUCCGCCACUCUCUGUGCGACCCUGAGCAACUUGCUUAACAUCUCAGGUCUCAGUUUCUUCCUCUAGAAAGGGGAUGAUAAUAGGACCUGUUCAUGGGGUUGCUGUGAAAAUUGAAUGAGUUGGCACGCACGAAGUGCUGGGAACAGUGCCUGGCACGUGGUAAGUGCUCAAUAAACAUUGACUGAUUUUCACUA